CCCUUAGACGUUCUGGGCCGCACGCGCGCUACACUGACGAAGGCAACGAGCUUUCCUUUACCGAAAGGUACGGGUAAUCUUUUGAAACUUCGUCGUGCUGGGGAUAGAUCCUUGCAAUUUUUGAUCUUAAACGAGGAAUUCCUAGUAAGCGCAAGUCACCAACUUGCGUUGAUUACGUCCCUGCCCUUUGUACACACCGCCCGUCGCUACUACCGAUUGAAUGGUUUAGUGAGGCCUUCGGAUCCGCGACUCGUUUUGUGGAGAAGUUGGACAAACUCAGUCAUUUAGAGGAAGUAAAAGUCGUAACA
rnacentral:rRNA from 1 species